rnacentral:lncRNA from 1 species
AGGAGGGCGAGGCCUGGGCGCCACCCGUCUGGGGCCCGAAAGGAGGGAGCUUUCCCUCUGUCCUCCAGCCUUUGGACUGUCUCCAAACAAGCCAUUCGUUCACCAAAUACUUAUUAAGCACCUACCAUGUGCCUGACAAGGGAGAUGUAACGCUGUUGUUCCCCACCAGAACCAAAUGAGCGCAAGAUCUGACAAAGAAAAAAAAGGUUCAUCUUUUAUUCCCCCAAACACUUUCAUUUAAAUCAAGAGGAUGGGAUGUGGUUAUUGCUGUGUUUUUAGACAGAAUCAACGGUUUCUGUGUCUGAGAUGUUGCAUACACCCUCUCAGUCCCUCUAUCCUGAGAUGGAGUCACCUGAGGAUCCACAGCAAGUCCUAACCAGGGAUGGGUCUGGGUGAUUAAGGAAGGUUGGCUUCAGAACUGGGCCAGGGGCACUGCUUUGCUUUUGCUGUUUUGAUCAGCUCUCUGCCUGCAGGAGACAAGGAAAACCAAUGGGAACAGCCCAGUAAAGGCUCCAUUCCCCAUUUUACAGCUGGGGAAACUGAGUUACAGAGCUUUUCUGCACUGAGUCAUCAGGAGCAAAUGCUAGAUCAGAUAGGGUCUCUCUCUCUGCCACCCAGGCCAGAGUGCAGUUGACGCAGGGCAGGGGAGCCCCGAAGUGGAGCAUAGUGUGUCCGGAACUGGUGGGUUCUUGGUCUCACUGACUUCAAGAAUGAAGCCGUGGACCCUCACGGUUCAAGCGAUUCUCCUGCCUCAGCCUCC